GGUAUAGAGACUAAUUUUACAAACAUUAAAGAUAGAUGAGUUCAUAUUUUUGACUUUAUUUUGGUAGGUCAUGACAUUAAUGAUUGAGAUGGUUUUGAGAUCAUCAUGCACAAUUUGAUUGAUUUGCAACUAUGUUUUGUAUAGGGGCGGUACUCUUUUGAUACCUUUGUGUAUAAUAACACUUUUUUUUUUUAUUUUAAAAAAAUAGAUCCCCAACAAUAGAAAUUAUUCUAUACUGAUGAUUAAAUCUUAUGCACAAGAUUGUGAAAUUCUUCUUGGAAAAACUUUUAUGGUGGCUAUCUAUGCUACAAAAUGCUGUCACAACUCUAUAUUAAAGCUAUGAGUGUGUAUAUGGUGGCUCUCACAUCUUUUCCUUAUAUAGCCUCCAAAAAUAGGGUUCUGAAAACUAUUACACUGGCUUUCCCAUGAAAUUGCACUUAGCAGAGUUUUCCUUGCUGUAGUGAUGAACACAGUGUAAUUCCAUUGAUUUAUGCUGCAGCUGGAAAUUUUUUUCCCCCACUGCAGUGGCCGCAUUCUGCAUGCUUAUGAGUUGAUUUUGGAGCCAAUAACAACUGAGUUUUGGCCUGGGCUCUUCAUCAAAGUUGUAGUCUUAUAUAGUUUGAGAGCCGAAAUGAAUUUAGAUUUGGGCAUGUGAAUCCAAUCUUGAAAGCUCAGGACAUCUACAUGAAGUUAGAAGGCUGCUUUUAUUUGGGAACUCGAAGGAUGUAAAACCUUCAUUGAACCUUCAAAGGAUAUUGGAUUUAGUGUGGAGUAUACAGAUCCUUCUGGUAGAAAAACUCCUGUGUUACCUUAUGGUCGGUAUGAGUCUGAUCAAGGAAAUUUCUGCACGUGCAUGGCUGGAAACUACAAACUCAUAUGGGAUAAUUCAUAUUCAACUUUCUUCAAGAAGGCACUGCGCUAUAAAGUAGACUGCAUACCUCCAGUGGUUGAACCAGUGCAGUCAAUGGACAUGGAAGGAUGAAAGACCUACAACUUGUGUGACAAUUAGCGAUGGUUCAUCAUCAAGUGAUUUUACCUCCCAGAUUCAUUUGUAUUAUUAAUCGUUUCCUAGUUUCUAGUUUCAACAUUCUGAAAUUUGUUUUGAUUUUUAUCAUUCAGAAAGGCAGUCUCAGCAUCGUGUACAAGUAUCAUCUGUAUAUGUCCUGGAAAUCUGUAACAUAUGUUACUAUCAUGCAAAAUGCCCCAUGGCAAUUUGGUCAUUCAGUCUUUUCUUAUACCAAAUUAGAGGUGGGAGCUAUAUAAGUAAGAUUAUUUUCACUACGGAUUUGGGAAUUGUAUUUUAAAGGUUUAUCUUUAUUGGAAAACAAAGAUCUGUUUGGAUGUUGAACCAAA